GACAUGGACCUCCUCAUGCCCUAUAAAGCUGGUGGAAAAAUUCCCAUAUUUUUGCUAGUGGACGGAAAAUAAGGUGAGAGUUGAAUAUACACAUUGGCAAUGAAAGGAGUGCUAUGACAACAACUGAGAAAUAAUGGUGUCCCACAUGGUGUAGCCAUACACCAAGGUGAAGCUCUACCUUCCAUGCACAUUACUCUUUGUAGUUUAGCUGGUUUCUUGCUGUGUACACAUGCUAUAGGGACUGGACUUGUGCCAUCUUUCUACUUGGUUUAAUCUACAAGGUAAGGAAUGAAUGAUGUCAAAACACUAUAAUCCUUUCUGAAUUUUUUUUACAGGAAACACUAAAGGAUGAACAUUUAGGUUGUGGUGUGACUGAUACAACAAGCACUAAAGCUAAAACAUCACAGGAGACACAGUUUCCCCAUGUGAAGAGGUCUCUUCAGCAAGAGAACCAUUGUUCAGCUCUAGGGGAGAGGAGGUUGAAGUUCUAAGAGUCUUCUCUGAAGCACUGGUGCGAAACCUUUUCCCUCAGUCUCUAUGGGGACUGGCAGUCAGCCACUGUGCCUUAAAUGAGAUUGUUGCCUUAAAAGGUAAACCCCACAACAUAAGCCUAUCAGUGCCUCAGUUUUCUCUCAUAGCUCAACUUUUGAAAACGAGAAUAAAUUAGCAUCAAACAUUGUCAUUCCAUCAUGGAUAGAGGUACUGCACAUACUGUGCUACAACUAAAAUAAGGGCUCUCCUUAGAGGAAAGCUAAAACAGUGUGUCGAAACCUACUGAUAAUGGUUUGUGGCUCUGAUCACAGGAGUCAGUGAAAUGAGUUGAACAAUUACAUUUAUGGCUUAGUAAUGGUAAGGGAUUUUACUGUUGUAGAUAAAAUAUUAACUUCUAUAUUCUGCAUCUGUAACUUUAUUGGAUUAAAUGAGCCUUGAAAUGUAUCACUUUUUUUAUUGCCCGGGAGACAUGGACAGUGGUGGAUACUGGAGGUGUCCAUUAGUAUAACAGUGAAACCAGUGGAAAGUGUCACAGUAAUUCUGAGACUAAGUGUGUGGAUU
rnacentral:lncRNA from 1 species